rnacentral:rRNA from 1 species
AUUGAACGCUAGCGGGAUGCUUUACACAUGCAAGUCGAACGGCAGCGCGGACUUCGGUCUGGCGGCGAGUGGCGAACGGGUGAGUAAUGUAUCGGAACGUGCCCAGUAGCGGGGGAUAACUACGCGAAAGCGUAGCUAAUACCGCAUACGCCCUACGGGGGAAAGCAGGGGAUCGUAAGACCUUGCACUAUUGGAGCGGCCGGUAUCGGAUUAGCUAGUUGGUGAGGUAACGGCUCACCAAGGCGACGAUCCGUAGCUGGUUUGAGAGGACGACCAGCCACACUGGGACUGAGACACGGCCCAGACUCCUACGGGAGGCAGCAGUGGGGAAUUUUGGACAAAGGGGGCAACCCUGAUCCAGCCAUCCCGCGUGUGCGAUGAAGGCCUUCGGGUUGUAAAGUACUUUUGGCAGGAAAGAAACGUCGCGGGCUAAUACCCCGUGGAACUGACGGUACCUGCAGAAUAAGCACCGGCUAACUACGUG